rnacentral:misc_RNA from 1 species
GAUGAAGAACGUAGCGAAAUGCGAUACGUAGUGUGAAUUGCAGAAUUCAGUGAAUCGUCGAAUCUUUGAACGCACAUUGCGCCCGCCAGUAUUCUGGCGGGCAUGCCUGUUCGAGCGUCAUUACAACCCUCAGGCCCCCGGGCCUGGCGUUGGGGAUCGGCGGAAGCCCCCUGUGGGCACACGCCGUCCCUCAAAUACAGUGGCGGUCCCGCCGCAGCUUCCAUUGCGUAGUAGCUAACACCUCGCAACUGGAGAGCGGCGCGGCCAUGCCGUAAAACACCCAACUUCUGAAUGUUGACCUCGAAUCAGGUAGGAAUACCCGCUGAACUUAAGCAUAUCAAUAAGCGGAGGA